AUUGGAUCGAACCCACCUAUUCCGCAUGGCCAUCGUUCCGCUUGUGAGCUAGACAUCUCAGGCUCGGCUCGACUCAAAAAAAAAAAUCAUGCGGCUCCUAAGAUUAAUCCCUAGAAUUAUGUCGUUUCCUUUUUUUACAUUCACAAAAAGACAUUCCUUUCCGUAUGUCAGGCAGAGACGCAGAGUAGUACCAGCGGCGGUGCCUCCUCAUUCCUUCACCGGCGGAUGCGCUGUUUCUCCCGACGGUGGUGGUGUCUCCUCCUUCCAUCUGGCGGCCACGGCUGUUCCUCUCACGUGCGCCCCCACCUCGCGCGGAUGCGAUCCAGCGUUGGUGCGGCUCGAUCUGCAUGCACGGGGCUUCCCGCCGGCGAUGCGGCCCGCGUCGCUUGGCGGCUCCGGCAAAGGAGCGACUCCCUCGUGUGGAUGGCGGCCCUGACUGCGUAGCGACUCACCUCCAGAUCAGUCUACCAGAAAACAAUGCUACCUUGUGGUAACUUUGUAUAAUUAACCAAAAUUAUUAUUGAAAAAUUAUUACCUCAACGGCUCAAUCCGCACUGCUCCGAGCUUCCGACGAACAGUUGUGAAGAAAAAGGUAUGCGGCCUAUCCAGGUGACCUUCUCCAUACUAGCACUAAUCCUGUAAUGAAUUUAUUUUGUUUUAGAUUUUAGAUCUUUUUUAUUUGAAUGAACACCUCUGUUUUAGAGCAGAUCAGUAAAAUUUGUUACUGCAUAGCAUGAGAUGAUAGCGGAGGUUCCUUGCUUGCCCCAACAACUGCUUGCUAGACCAUAAGUGACCUAUUCGCAGUGUCUAAUUAAUGUGGCUGCAUUUUCAAACACGCAUGAUUUCUUAUUUAUUGUUUCCUAUAAAUCAUAAGGAUCAAUCUUCCAGUAAGUACUGAUGUGUGAUUGUGUCUAAUUUAUAGUGUGCUCUAUUAGUUUAGUCUCAAUUCUUAUGGAUGCUUGUGAAAGAACUGAGUCGUUGUUCACCUAUUUACUUCAUGCUAUACUUUUCCCUUUGUGCUUAUAUUAAUCGAAGUACCACUAGUUUAGCAGUAUGGCUUACUUCAUUUGUAUUUUUUAUUCUUAUUACUAUAACUCAUGAUUCACUAGCAACCCUAUAUUUUGUUAUUGCAACUAAUUAACUAAUAUUCAUUCUUUUGUAAUUUUUAUUGCUGCGUGCAGAUCGAUUGAGAAGUGGUUGAUGAGGGGUGUCAUUGCUAGCUUCACUAUUUUUUUGUUUCGCCAAGGCCAACAUUAGUGGUCAGGACUAGAUUAUGUCAUGGUAGUUACAUUUGUUUAUCAUGGGAUGCUUUGUGUAUUGCAACAAUGUGAGAUAUGUAACAUGUUCCCUUGAUGUGGGCUGGAGAGACAUUUCCAAGUUAUUGCAGUUUAGAAAAAGGGUAAAUGGCCAUUUAAAGUUGAAAUUUACCUCAAUCAACCUUGAUUCAUGGCUGAUGUCUGAACUCAAACCUCUUAUCUUUUUGUAGCAAUUUGUUCUGGUUA